UACGGAGGGUGCAAGCGUUAAUCGGAAUUACUGGGCGUAAAGCGCGCGUAGGCGGCUCGGUCAGUCGGGUGUGAAAUCCCUGGGCUCAACCUGGGAACUGCAUUCGAUACUGCCGAGCUAGAGUGUGGGAGAGGGUAGUGGAAUUCCCGGGGUAGCGGUGAAAUGCGUAGAUAUCGGGAGGAACAUCAGUGGCGAAGGCGACUGCCUGGCCCAACACUGACGCUGAGGUGCGAAAGCGUGGGUAGCAAACAGG
rnacentral:rRNA from 1 species